AUCUGGCUGGCUCAUUCAGUAGAGCAUGCGACUCUUGAUCUCGGGAUCGUGGGUUCGAGCCCCACGUUGGGUG
rnacentral:tRNA from 1 species